rnacentral:rRNA from 1 species
GAUGAACGCUGGCGGCGUGCUUAACACAUGCAAGUCGAACGAUGAAGCCCAGCUUGCUGGGUGGAUUAGUGGCGAACGGGUGAGUAACACGUGAGUAACCUGCCCUUGACUCUGGGAUAAGCCCGGGAAACUGGGUCUAAUACCGGAUAGGAGCGCCUGUCGCAUGACGGGUGCUGGAAAGAUUUUUCGGUCAUGGAUGGACUCGCGGCCUAUCAGCUUGUUGGUGAGGUAGUGGCUCACCAAGGCGACGACGGGUAGCCGGCCUGAGAGGGUGACCGGCCACACUGGGACUGAGACACGGCCCAGACUCCUACGGGAGGCAGCAGUGGGGAAUAUUGCACAAUGGGCGGAAGCCUGAUGCAGCGACGCCGCGUGAGGGAUGACGGCCUUCGGGUUGUAAACCUCUUUCAGCAGGGAAGAAGCGAAAGUGACGUACCUGCAGAAGAGCCC